rnacentral:rRNA from 1 species
AAUAGAUACCCAGGUAGUCCACGCCGUAAACGAUGGAUGCUAGCUAUUGGGGAGAAUCGACCCCCUCCGAAGCGAAGCUAACGCGUUAAGCAUCCCGCCUGAGUAGUACGAGCGCAAGCUUAAAACUCAAAGGAAUUGACGGGGACCCGCACAAGCGGUGGAGCGUGUGGUUUAAUUCGAUGGUAAACGAAGAACCUUACCAAGGUUUGACAUCCCGGUAGCCGUUCUCCGAAAGGAGAAUUUCAUUUAGUUGGACCGGUGACAGGUGAUGCAUGGCCGUCGUCAGCUCGUGUCGUGAGAUGUUGGGUUAAGUCCCGCAACGAGCGCAACCCUUAUGAUUUAGUUGGAUUUUUCUAAACAGACUGCCCUGGUAACAGGGAGGAAGGAGGGGAUGAUGUCAGGUCAGUAUUUCCCUUACACCUUGGGCGACACACGCGCUACAAUGGCCGGUACAAUGGGCAGCUAAGCCGCGAGGUGGAGCAAAUCCCAUCAAAGCCGGUCCCAGUUCGGAUUGCAGGCUGAAACCCGCCUGCAUGAAGCCGGAAUCGCUAGUAACC